ACUGCCAGCGACAUGUUAGCAAACUAGCUGCUAGCAUUAUGUACUUUCUCUCUUUGUGGUGGAUGUUGCAGUAUUUUUCAUUAACUAAUGAUGACAAAUUCAUACAAUAACGUUAGCUGGGUGUCGAUAGCUAACACAACUACUGCAUAAACAUGUUUAGCUGUUCUUAGCCGACAUGACUUAACUAUAUCAACCUUGCUAUGCUGUCCACAGAAACCUGAGUGACUUGAAGUAUCUGGGAAGAGCCGUGACCACAGAUAAAUUCAGAAUGCUGCUACGAGUUCAGUUUGGGGGAGAGCAAAAAUACAUUAAGCUGUCUGAGCUGACAUUUGAUACUUUUUUGAAAGAAGUGUGCCUGAAAUUCAACAUACCAGAAGGCAGGCAGCUAGAUAUGAAGGUUCAUGACCAGUCUGAUACAGAGGUUGACUCUGAGGUUUUUGAAGAGAUAGUGAAGGAUUCACCUGGAGCCUUUCGAAUCAUGUUGGGCAGUGAAGGACUUGGUAAUCUUUGAGACCAUGUUCAUUUAGCGUAAAGGCUGAUGUGAGACUAUAUCCCAUUAAAU
rnacentral:lncRNA from 1 species